AAUUAACGAACACCGCUGAUAAGAAAAAUCGACGGCGCGAGGCCGAGGCGAGGCGAAGCGUUCCGCCGCACACGCUCUCCGCGGAGGGUACGACGGGUCGGGGGGGGGGGGGGGCGAGGGGGAGGGAAUUUUUAGCGGGGGCCGAAUUUUUCAAAAUGGCGCUGCGAAUUCCGCACUUGCGUCCGCUCUCGUUCCCAUAACCAACAAACUUCCACAACCGAGCGGUCCGAGCCGGAGGUCCGCGGGGGUAGGGAAGGGGGCCUCAACGUCCCGCUGGCGCCCAGGGCGUCGAACGAACCGCGCUGACGACGGCGUCGUCCGAAGCGAUUCAGCGUCCUCUCUCUCUCUCUAUCCUGUCGUCUCUCCUCUCGAUGCACGAGCGAGUGCACGAUCCGCCGUGCUGCACGCGCGCACACAAGCUAACGAACGAGUGGUCGGACGGACGAUUAUCCGAGAGUCCUGGCCCGAGAGAGCUCGCGCGCGAACGGUUAGCGUCGUCCCGCAGUCAGUCACCCGCGCUCACUAGCUACCGCUGGCGUCCACGAGCGCCAGUCCGUCGUUCCGUCGGCCAGCCAGCCAGCCAGUCGUCAGUCUCGACCCUCUGUGCUUCUCUUUCUCCUUCUCUCCCUCCCCCCUCUCUCUCUGUCUCUCCUCUCCCUCCCCCCUGUCUCUUUCUCCUCUCUCGUUUCGUCUCUCUCUCAACCUUUGCAACCUAUGCGAACCUUCCCCACCUACACCGAGAGAAAGACACCAACACGACGAGUCACACGUACGUGUGCACGCGCAGUCGGCGGCGGCGGCGAGAUGCGCGCGCGCGCGCGCGCGAAGCUUCCUACGAAGCGCCGUGCAUGCUGGACACGGCGAUGACGAUGACGAUGAUAAUAAUAAUAAUGAUGCGGCAGCGAUGCACCAGCUAUAUGUCAACUACACGACCGAAGAGGGAGGAGGGAGAGAAGGAUGUAACCGAGGGUGGAGACGGGAAGAAGCGAGAGAAACGGCUUUUAGAAGGGAUCAUUGCUGCGUCCGCUCGCGCGAUUUCCGCAUUGAUCGUUCAGCCGAUUUUACCUGAAUAGUUGAAGAUAUGCCGCAUCUUUUAUUGCAUAAUAAAGAAUAACGUAACGCUGUUACGCCAUGGAAAAUAUAUGCGAUAUAUCGUGCACCUUUGAGUUCUUAGAUAAAAAAUGUCGUGUUCUUGUUUCUAUGUCAUUAAUUGGAAUUGCGUUUUUUUCGAGUCGAAAGCGUGAAUGCCUUGAUUGCGAGACAAUUAUUAAUGUUUGUUUUUAACGCUAUAAUCAAGAUUGCACACAAACAACUGUAUGUUUAAAUCUUCAUUAGAACAUACAUGUCGGACAAUCGUCAAUUAAAAGAAUGGUACAUAAUUUCUCAAGUCAGAAUAGAGCUUUCAUAUCCGAGAGAAAUACAUGUAUUGAGAUAAAUGAAUUGCGUAAUUGCUCCGAUUGUUUUCUAGGGUUUGAUGAUCGUAGCGAGCAGUGUCGUGUGUCCAAGGUUGUGUGUGAGUUCGAAACCAAUUUCGGGUUCUCAUCUUGUCUGCAUGACGCUUUUAACUGUUGAAAUCGUUACUGUGCGCUCUGGCGGUACAAACAGUGUUGCCAAGUUUACACGCAAAAUCAAUGCCGUAAUAAAAGUAAUAAUAAAGCCGUGAUAAGCGUGAAUUCCAGUGUGGAAAAUAAUUGUUUCAUUCUACCGAAAAAUAUCAUCAAAAUCAUUAAUAUAAACCUUUGAGUGCAUCUCGCUUCAGAAUUGCAAUUCUAAUCCACAGCUUAUAAAUAACGACCUGUGGAUAAAUAGUUUACACCUUUAUCUUCAAAGAAUAGAAGUAAGAAAAGAUCGAUGAAAGAAAAUUUGAAAUAAAACUCAUAAUUGCAGAAAUGGUUUUAAUCAAUUUAAAAGAGUCAUAAAAAAUGAAGAUUGCUAGUUAACAUUUUUUAAAUUUAAAUUUAAACCAAAGUGGAAAUAAAAGAAUCUCUAAAUUUUAUAAAGCCCAUUUUCUCGACGAGAAGGAGUACGACUUAUAAAAUAUAUACGCAACUUUAUGAGAAGUAACGGAGAAGAUAGCUAACGCGCUGUUGGGAGAACCGCGUUUCUCACGAUUUCACCAUAUCUGUUUAACACGCGUAAUUCAAUCGCCGUUAUACUUUUACCGUGGUUCACGAGUUUAGAAUCCUCAGCGAUGUUGCGCAUCCAACUUUUUCUCUAAUAACAAGAUAAGUAUUCUUGCGAUAAUCCGCCAUAUUUGGAUAAUACAAAGUCCGUUAUCCGUUAUACGUGUCAAACUUCCGAAAAUGUUAUCAAUUCUGAAUUUCAAGAAAUUGGUUAUAAGUAUCGCUUGAAACUGUCAGAAUAAAGAUACCGAAUAAAGAAACUGUGUCAACUAA